ensembl:lncRNA
CAUAAAAGUGCCACUUUUGAAUCUAACAGGAUGUGGCCCACGCUACAGAGGGAGUUAAUGACGUCGGCAUCUAAAUGAAAAACUCAGGAAUAUCCUACUUUUUUCUGCUUCACCAAGUUGCAGGCUCUUUGUACAGAACGCUUUUCAAACGCCUUUGGCCAUUAAGGAGGGAGGAUUUUUUGCAUAAGGAAGAACACCUGCACCAGUCACAGAGGCAUCCUUCUGUCAGAUACAUCCACCUGCACCAGUCACAGGAGGUGUCCUUUUCUGAGAGACAUCCACCUGCACCAGUCACAGAGGCAUCCUUCUGUCAGAGACAUCCACCUGCACCAGAAGGGGUGACAACAGAGGAGCAACUCCAGAGCUGUCUGACAGGCUCUUUGUACAGAACGCUUUUCAAACGCCUUUGGCCAUUAAGGAGGGAGGAUUUUUUGCAUAAGGAAGAACACCUGCACCAGUCACAGAGGCAUCCUUCUGUCAGAUACAUCCACCUGCUCCAGUCACAGAAGCGUCCUUCUGUCAGAGACAUCCACCUGCACCAGUCAAAGAGGCAUCCUUCUCUCAGAGACAUCCACCUGCACCAGAAGGGGUGACAACAGAGGAGCAACUCCAGAGCUGUCUGACAGGUAAGACCCAGUUAAUUAAUGUUCAUCCUAAUGCAAUCGCACCUGUGAAGAAAGUGAUGUUAAAUAACUACAACUCAUAAGGAAACGCUUAACCAUGCUUAACCUUGUCGGUCCAAACACACAAAC